AUUGAACGCUGGCGGCAGGCCUAACACAUGCAAGUCGAACGAGUGGCGGACGGGUGAGUAAUGUCUGGGAAACUACCUGAUGGAGGGGGAUAACUACUGGAAACGGUAGCUAAUACCGCAUACCAUCGGAUGUGCCCAGAUGGGGUUAGCUAGUAGGUUGGGUAACGGCUCACCUAGGCCACGAGCCCUAGCUGGUCUGAGAGGAUGACCAGCACAACUGGAACCAGGACACGGUCCAGACUCCUAGGGGGGGCAGCGGUGGGGAUAAUGUCGCAAUGGGCGCAGGCCUGAUGCAGCCAUGCCGCGUGUAUGAAAAAGGCCUUCGGGUUGUAAAGUACUUUCAGCGGGGAGGCGUUACCCGCAGAAGAAGCAACGGCUAACUCCGUGCCAGCCGCCGCGGUAAUAC
rnacentral:rRNA from 1 species